GUACACGCUGUGACUAGCAUAUCAAUAAGCGGAGGAAAAGAAACUAACAAGGAUUCCCCUAGUAACGGCGAGUGAAGCAGGAAGAGCUCAAAUUUGAAAUCUUAAAGGGUUUCCCUUUACGAAUUGUAGUUUAAAGAAGUGUUUUCUGUUGAGGUUUUGGUAAAAGUUCUUUGGAAUAGGACAUCAUAGAGGGUGAGAAUCCCGUAUUUGACCUUUACUUUCAACUUUGUGAUACACUUUCAAAGAGUCGGAUUGUUUGGGAAUGCAGUCCAAAAUGGGUGGUAAAUUUCAUCUAAAGCUAAAUAUUGGCGAGAGACCGAUAGCGAACAAGUACCGUGAGGGAAAGAUGAAAAGAACUUUGAAAAGAGAGUUAAACAGUACGUGAAAUUGUCAAAAGGGAAGCGUUUGACACCAGUGUUGCUUUUCUGAAAAUCAAUUAAAGAACUGUUUAUGCUAAGCUGUUUAGACUUUAUCAGCUAUCUGUUUAGUUUUGAGCUUUUCUUUAAUGCACUUUUCAGUUAACAAGUCAACAUCAAUUUCUUUUGCUGUAAAAAAGCUUGAGGAAGGUGGCUUGAGAUUCGUCUUAAGUGUUUAUAGCCUCUUGCCUAUGCAGUCGGAGAGAUUGAGGUCUGCAGCGUAGAUCCUUCGGGGCUAAAUGCAUUUGUGCUAAGUUAUAGCAUUUUAUAGACAACUUGUUGACUAUGAUUUGUCUUGUAGCUUACUCGCUUAUGUUAUUUUACCUACGCUUAGGAUGUUGAAGAUGUAGCACAUCAU
rnacentral:rRNA from 1 species